rnacentral:sRNA from 1 species
AGAAAAGUAGGUGCCGCCCCGCACAGGGGCAACGCAUGCAGACCGACAAGAAAACAAGGAAAGGCCAACACGAGAAGAAAACGCACGAGUAUUAACUAGCAGCCACGCUCCCGCAAAAAAAUU